rnacentral:rRNA from 1 species
UACGUAGGGUGCGAGCGUUAAUCGGAAUUACUGGGCGUAAAGUGUGCGCAGGCGGCCGAGCAAGUCGAGUGUGAAAGCCCCGAGCUUAACUUGGGAACUGCGCUCGAAACUACUUGGCUAGAGUGUGGCAGAGGGAGGUGGAAUUCCACGUGUAGCGGUGAAAUGCGUAGAGAUGAUGGAGGAACACCGCUGGCGAAGGCAGCCUCCUGGGCCAACACUGACGCUCAUGCACGAAAGCGUGGGGAGCAAACAGG